CAGUCCACACACACCUAACCCUAAUUCCCCAUUCUAUCCUCCCGUUCCCUCAGCCGCCGCCACUCCACCAAUCUUCCUCCGCCCGCUCCAUGCCGGCGCCGCCGCAGAACAGCCUCACCUCUCCCGAUCCAUCGAUCCCCUCUCUUCUCCCCUCUAUGUGCGUCGCCCCCUCCCCAUCUUUCCCACGGCCACGGCCACGCGCUCGAGUUGCGGCGGUAGUGGUCGCGACAGGUCCAUUUCCUCCCGGCGCAGAUCAAUCCGCCUUCCUCGGUCGCACUCGAGCAGCGCAUGUCCCGCCGAAACCCAUGAUGCAUUGUCCAUCCAACCAGAUCGACACCGACGAGAAGGCCAAGGUGGCGGUAGCGGCGCCGAGCUCGUCGUUCUCUACCACCGGAUUUGGAAGUCUCUAAUGUCCCGUGCGACUGCCACGGAUCCAUCUUCGGUCGGCGGCGAGCUAUGGUGAGAUACAGGUGGCGCCGCCGCCACGGAGCUAGCCACUCCCUUCUGCCAUCCGCGCUGCAGCGACAGGCGCUGCCUCUGCGGCUUUGCCAGGGGCCUCUGCCCGUCGCGUACGUGCUGCUCCUCCUCGUCAUCUCCGUGGAUGGGAAUGGAUUUCUUGGAAGUUGGUCUUGUAGCAUUUUCUCUUCAAGAAAAUGGAGCCAGUGGUUAUGAUCUAUUUUGGCACACAACUUAAUUUGUUAUCUCUGAAGCUGUAGCCAGUGUUGAUGUACUUCUCAAGGUAUGUUACUGCUUAGUCUUUAUGAUGCAGCUAGAUUUUUCGUGAUUCUGGCAUUUUCAUGGAAUUAAUGUGUUGCCGAUCCUUCGCUCGUUGGACAUACCUUGAGAUGCAUGAUGUGCUCGCCAAUGAGGCGCUCCAGCAGGGGCUCAAGGAGUACUCCAGCUAGCCCACACUCUUGCAGCUCUUCAUCGACGGCGAGUUAACUGGUGACUGCGACAUCACUAUCGGCAAUGUUGAGCAUGGGUUGAGUUGAGAUAUUGGCGUAUAAGGUUUUCCCUCCAAUGAAGUUGGCGGCAAUGGCUGGAUCCGUGUCCAGAAAUGCAUGGAGAUGACCCCUGGUUGUCAGUUGUCGUUUGGCCAGCCUUGAGCGGGGCUGUGGUGCUGCAGAAUUAACACAGGGUGUUUGUAGUUUUAAGUUUCUUUUUUUGCUAGUCCUUGAUAGAUGUAUUGUUCGGCUAUAACUGUAAUCUUAAGUUUUUUGUGCAAAUUUUUUCUGUUGUA